CGCCUGGCAACGGACUGGUUUUUCCACAGGCCGUGUGAUGCCAAGGCCUACUUAAUGCUUAACGCGUGUAAACUGAAAUACCUCCUAUGGCGGUGAUCCGUAACCUGGCAACAGCCAAUGAGAGGAAAGGGUUACGACUGCGCCUACUGGCGCUCGACAAUGCUAUCUCGUCGAAGACCCAAUUGGCGUCUGCUAAAAUGAAAACUAUCUGAGCGUAGAGUGAAGGGCUGAAGGCUGCAAGAGGGCAACGACACGCCGUGUGUUUCGGCUUGUUUUGACGGAUUGUUAUAACCAGGUUUUUUAAAAAAUUGUAAUUGAAAAAAUUUAAGAAAUCAGUCCUGAGUUUAACAAUUCAUUCAGUUGUGCAUAUGUACCUCAACGGAAAGCCAUACGCUUUUUAAAAGAAGAAUAACACAAACUGAAAGAAAGGUGAAACAUGGAGUCAUAAAUAGUAUGAGGGUCCUGGCUCUACGUUCCUUAUUAGCUGGAUGAAAGCUAUUUCUUGUUUGGUUGAAAAUGGAAUGUAGCUUCUUCUUGUUCGCCAAUAUUGGUUUGAGAAAUUUUUUUAAUAUGAUCAUAAUUAAAUCUUUGUUGUUUUCACCAGGUAUUGCCACUUAACAUACAAAAGUGCUGUAUGUCUCAAUGUGGGAAGGAAGGAAUCCAAACAGUCCCUUCAGCAAGAAAGUCGACUUUGAAAUCUGUGAAAGAAUUUCUUUUACAAAAAGAUUACCUAGGUGAUAAAUCAACAGCAUCAGUGAGUCAAAACUUCUUGUCCUCUGGAAUCUAGCGAUACAGUUAACGCAAAAUUCCUGCUCCACCAGAACGCGUAUAGUGUAUCCAGCGAGAAAAGCCGCAGUGCAGGAUUGUGAUGAUAGCUGCAGUUUUUCUGUAAAAAAAAAUCAUUCCGUUUUCUUCGUUUUGAUAUCAGGCAAUAAUUUCACGAUAUCUUGAAAGAUAUCGCGUCGCAUUUAAGACGUACGGAAGACUUUCUAUGCAUCCGAUAGUUUUCGACAGUAAAAUGAUCACCGCAAACACAGUUCUUUUCUGCUAACUCGUCCCCGUCACAAAAAUCUUGUUUAAAUCCUACACUUUUUUGUAUUGCUCUUAUCCAUUCAUUACGCAAAGAGUGAGAUAAGAAAUUAUAAAGCGAAACGUGUAUAUUUUUUUUGGGUGCUGGUAUUCCUACAGUUCUGUACCACACAACGUUUCCCAUCCAUUUUACGAUUAUAACUAAAGGCACACGUGUGAGCCUUGAUUGAUUUUUCAUUCCUUCCCAGCCCAUAUUGUUUACAGACUUUUUGUCCUCCUCAUGCAUUUCCGCUUGACAAACACGUUGAAAUCACAGUUUCAGUGUAUUACGAAAUUUAUUUCAUUCCACACGCAUGACUUUCUUUCAUUACAAGCAUUUUAAUCCCCUAUUUCUAAUAUUUUAUAACACUAAGGCCAUAUCCUUUCUUUCAGUUUAUCAUUUCAGUGCUUGGAAUUAGUUUGAAUUUCUUAUAUCCUAUACUUAAUACAUGUUUGUUUAUUUAUUUCUUA